CUUUGAACAUGGAAGCAGCUGCAGCAGUGAAUGCAGACUUGGAGAAGGAAUUCACCGUUGCAUCUGAGCUUGAGAAACCCUUUUGUAGUAAAGCUACCAAGGAGUCUGAAGAGGUGAAGCAGAAUGAAAAUGCAAAUUUGAACUGUGAAGACAAGGUUUUUCCAGAGGUAGAAGGUGAUGUGGACCUCAUGCCAAGACCACCUGACAGUAAUGCCGUCAGUUCUUCAAGUUCAGAGGCAUGCUCUGGUGAUACUGCCGAAGACAGCUGUGGGAUCUUGGAAAGGUCUGGGGACUCGUCUUGCGUGCAAGCUAAGAAAGAAAUAGCAAAACAGUUAAACGAACAAGUAAAAGUUGAAGAUUCAGACCUUGAGGUAGCAGUUCAUUCAGGGGCAAAAAUGGAUAACUCUGCUUCCACGCCAUGUGACAGUGAUGUUCUGAAUUCAGCUAUCCCUGAGCCAAGUCAAGGCAGCUGUGUGACUUUGGAACAGACUCGGAACUUUUCCGACAGCAAAACGAAAGAAACGGCAAAGCAGUCUGCAGAAGAAAAGAGUGAAAGGGAGCAUGAGUGUUAUGAAGGUGAAGUUCUCUCGAAGCUGGAUAAGGAUGAUAGCCUUGCGCCUAAACCAUGUGGUGUUAACCUUAGUGAAUCAACUUGUUUUGAGACAAACUGUGGCAGUGCUUUUGAUGAGGGCAGUAUGCACUCGGACAGUCCACAUGGCUCUUUCUCCACUGAAGUUGGAAAAGAUGCAGCAGGAAAAGAAGAGGAAAAUAAUAGGGAGGGACAUGUCUCCUCUUCUGUUGCUCCCAGGAAAGAGGCAGAAAAAGAAGAAGGAAGUGAAAGAGAUGGGUCUUCCUCCAUUGGAUGUAGAAAACAAGAAGCAGGCAAAGAGGAAACUCAAAAUGAGGGACAUGGCUCUUCCUCAAUUGAUCCUAGAAAAUGUGCAGCAGGAAAAGAAGAGGAAAAUGAUAGUGAAGUCCAAGACUCUUCCUCAAUUGAACCUUCAAAAAAGGAAGCAGAAAAAGAGGAAAGUCAUCAUGAAAGUAAACGUGACAAUCUUUGCCCAAUCUUCAGCCAUCAAUAGAGAAACCUGGCAGCAGUUCGCCCGAGGCACACGACAGUCAGGCACAAGUAUCAUUUAGUUGUGAACCAUGUAGUCAAGCUGCAGAUGACCUUGUGUCUUCAAAGGACCCUGAAAACGCUUCAUGCACUGAAACAAGUAAUGAAGUAACUGAAGAAGAGAGUGAAGGUGAAGAGGAGCAGGAAGAAAAAUGUCAUCCUAGUGUCUCACAGUUUCUUCAUCAAUACAUAAAAGUUGGAAAGUAUGUACCAGCAUCUGGGUCAAAAGCUGAAGACUUUCGCAUGAACAGCUCAGAUGCCGUAAUUGAAGCUCCUUCAUUGGUUACUCCCUUACUCAUAAAAAGACCAGACCGCCUUUUGACAGAAAACAUAAAUUGUGAAGGAAGUCAGAAACGGAGAAAAGUGCUGCCUUUGGGGAAAAGCGGCAGUUCUGCUGUUAACUUCUUUGAAAGUGCAAUAGGGAAGUUCUUCAUUGGUCUCGGUAUGAGCAGAGCACGUGAGGUGUACAACCAAGAGCUGCUAAAGCUCAAGAGACGCGAGAUAAAGAAAGCAGGUGGCCGUGAUCAAGAAAUGAUUGAUGAGUAUCGAGGGCUAAUUGAAGAAUAUCGAAAAACUCAUAUAGCAAACUCUGCCUUCAAAUUCAAGUCCAAAUCAUGCAAGUUAUGUGAUUUUAAAACUGAAUCAAGCCUUGUUCUAGAAGGCCACCUACUGACACCACACUUGACACCGCGGCGGGAGCUUCAGUGCGGUUUUUGCGACUAUGCGACUCGUGAUAACAAAGCGUUUGCAUUCCAUGUGGAGGCUAUGCACAACCGACAGGCAAUCCUAGAGCCUCCACUGCUGAAUCAUCAGUGCCCCUUUUGUCCUUUCGAGACCAACCUGAAAACUAAGGCCACUUCUCAUGUCAAUCGUUGCGAAAAAGUUUUCAGCACUAGUCAGAAUCAGCGGCCCACGUAUGACUUUCAGCCUCCAGGAGUCACAGCUAAGCCUGUUACUGUUGAUAAUGUCAUGAGCUAUGAAAAAAUAUUCUUUUCAUUAGGCCGCAUUGCUAAAGAUCCACGGAAAGGCUCCGGUGCUACACGUCCAAAUGGAGCCCCUGCAAUAGUAGCGCCUCGAGGAAAAGUGCCACUGUUGCCCAAGAAACGAAGAUCUGCUCACUCUCUAAAUCAGAGUCGCGAACAAAGAGAUUCUAGGCUAACGUUGAUCCAGCCAGAUAUUUCAUCUAACCGAGCAUUCCAGGUUGUUGGCGAUGGUGCGGAGCUUAUCCCACUGCACAAUGAAAGCACCAGGCAGACCAUAGCUGUUGCUCAGUCACCUUCCAACUUGGCGAAACUGUGUGCUGUCACCACUGUAGCCAGCAGGGGAAGCCCAGCAGGGGACGCAAACCCCAGACAUGUGAAAACCCCAUGGCCACUGGCUCAAUGCACCUGUUAUCACUUGCGAGAUCUGUGAUGGCUUUGUCAAAGACCUGGCGCAAUUGCGCUUGCACAUGCACCGGACGCAUGGUGUCACAAUCCACCGGGCUACGCUGUCCCAACGCCCACCACUCAGCUGCCGGAAGUGCGACAGGCGAUGUUUCACCGACCAGGGACUGGAACGCCAUUUGCUGGGUGCUCAUGGCAUGGUCACACCCAACAUGCAGCACAUGGCCAAACGGGGUAGGGAUGCUGGCCGUUGUCCACGGUGUGGUCGCAUUUAUGCUGCCAAGCUGGUUUCCCACAUGAAAGAGGUGCAUCGAAUGGCAAUAAAGUUGGCCACCCUGUCCUACAAGUGCCCUAUAUGCGAAGCAGUGUUUGACCUUUAUGAGCAUUUUGAAAACCAUGUACGUAAAGUACACACUAAGACCACAAACAACUCGUCUGCUGCAGCCUUCAAUGGCCAAGCUGCAAAGAGGCCAUUAUCAGCUCAAGCUCCCACACCCACAACUGUUAAGUAUAAUUCCUCAAAGCGACCAUGCCUGGCUACACCCUCUCCUACCACAAGCUAUCAGCCCAACUCUGUGAAGCGACCAUUCAUAGCUCCGAUUUCUAGUCCUGCAACUUCAAACCCCAGUGCUGCAAAGCAGCCAUUAUUGGCUCCAACCUCUGGUCAUUUCAGUCCUGCAACACGGCCGUCUCUGACUGCAGUCCUCUACUUCUGCUAUUGCCAAUUCCAGUUCCUCAAUGCGGCCAUGCUUGGCUGUGCCCUAUUCUCCCACAACUUCUCAGCUGCAACUCUGUGAAGCGGCCAUUCUGGGCUGCUAACUCGACAGCUAUAAACUCCUCUUCUAGUUCUACAAAACGGCCAUGCGUGGCUCAGACCUCUAGUAAUGCAAGUGCCGGUUCUAAUGCUACAAAACGACCAUUUGUGGCUCAGACCUCUAGUAAUGCAAAUACCGGUUCCAAUGCUCCAAAGUGGUCGUCUUUGGCUCCAACCUCUAGUCCUGGAAGUGCUGGUUCCAAUUUUGCCCAGAGACCAUUAUUAUCUGCUACCACUACUGCUGCAGUUAUGGGUUCCAACUCUUCAAAGGAGCCGGCUUUGGGUGCAGCCAUUAUUCCUGCAGCUGCACACACCAAUUCCACAGUGUGGCCGUUCAUGGCUUCGUCUAGUCCUGUGAGUAUCCAUCCCGUUACCACAUCAAGGCCAUUCCUGGCUGCAGCAUCUGCAGUGACAGCUGCUGGUCCAAGUUCAGCAAAACAACAGUUCUUGAUGGCAUGCACUACUUCUGCGGUGAAUAACACAGUAGCGAUUACUUCAACUGGUAAGCUUAACCCCAGUGUGAAGGAAGUUACCUGUGUGCCAGUAGGCCAGCCUUCAAAGCACCCAUUUUCGGCUAUGUCAGCUGGUGAGCUUAACUCCAUUGGUAAAGAAGUUACCUGCUUGCCGGUAGGCCAGCCUACAAAGCAACCAUUUUUGGCUAUGUCAGCUGGUGAGCUUAACUCUAGUAUGAAGGAAAUUACUUGUUUGCCAGUAGGGCAGCCUACAAAGCAGCCAUUUUUGGCUGUGUCAGCUGGGGAGCACUCCAGUGUGAAAGAAAUUACUUGCUUGCCAGUAGGGCAGCCUACAAAGCAGCCAUUUUUUGGCUAUGUCAGCUGGUGAGCACUCCAGUGUGAAGGGGGUUACCUGUUUGCCAGUAGGCCAGCCUAAAAAGCAGCCAUUUCUGGCUAUGGCCUCUGCGCCUACAGGAAUGACCAAGACAACAGAUAUUUCACCUGUUGGAUCAAGUUCCAAGCCAAAACAAAUCGCAGGUGCAUGGGCAGAGCCCACUUUUAAGUCAGCGGUGUCUAAGAUAAAGGUAGAACGGGCAGAUCCCAUGGAACUGGCCCCCUCUGCCUCACCGGAGCUAAAUGAGCCUGAACUUGGUUGGUGUGUGGCUUGUAAGGAAAGUGUUGAGGACUUCACAGAACAUUUGAAGGACAAACACAUACGGCAGUGUCAUGUUCGUGUAUGCCACAUUGAGAAGUGUGACUCGUGUCUCUCAUCAUUUUCUGGUCUGAUAGUGGUUACCACAUCGGAUGUUGAGGAUGAAGAUAGUUCAGAGGAGGAUGAGGAGGAGGAGGAUGACAGUGAUAAAGAUGAAGCUGCAAGGCCAGAAACAACGGUCCUUGAUCGGCCAUGCAAAACUGAGCCAGUGGAUGUGUAAGAGGCUUGCUGCCCAAACAGCAGCUUGAGAAUGCCAUCUGUCAGGUGAAAGACUUUGUCCAAAUUUAUACGAGUGCAUUUUUCAGGCUUUGCAUGGUUAUUUGAACCCUGGCUGUUAAAACAGAGGUUCCCGGACCUUUGUUUUCCAGUAUUUCUAAGGCUUCCACGAAGUUUUGAGGAAAGCACAUGGGUUUCCAUAAAGGGUGUGUACUCGCCUAUCAAGAUACGCUUAAGUGUGGAAAAGGUGAGCCACUGAGUAGGCACUCUCAUCCAAUUAUUCUAGACACAGAUGCUUGCUACUACAAAUUUUUGUGCAGCUCCCCGGCUAUUAAGUUAAGAUGCAGUGAUGCUCAGUCAUGGAAGUGGUAGCUAAAGAAUUGUUACAGUCAAAUUUAACUAAAUGGACAGCAUUAAUCCAAUAACACUGCACACACAUUGCAGCAUUGAUAAAAGCAGAGGGAUAUGUGCACAUCCAUUAAGUUCAUUGGACUGUGAAGAUCAAAUCCUAGAGUUUUACAAAGCAUAGGAUGGGAACCUCUGACUUAAAAGCCCUCAAAGAAUUGUCGGCCUCUGUGCCUUGCAAGGGAAAGGAGAAAACCUUUGUGGAGUUUUUAUGUUGCAGAUAUUGUCUUGAAUCAUUUUCUUCGGUCCUACUGCUUUGUUCGAAAUGAUGAUCAAUGUCUUUGACUCUUGUUGCAUAAAUCGUCGGCUGCUGCUUCUGCUAUCAGUUGGACAGUCUAUUUACAGUAACACCAGUAUUGUUCACCUCGUUCACUUUGCUUGAAGAUGUCCAUAUGGUUGAAUUUGUACGUCACAUGCUGUAAUUAAUAAGGCUCAACUAGCAAUCGUGUGUUUUCAUACUGUUUUUUUCUGUAAUUUAUAAAUCUCACUGUUCUAGCAUGUUACAUUUCGUCAUUAACAUAACGAGGCGAAACAGACAUCUAACUCUUCAUAAUUUCUUUCAUUUUUCCUUGUUGCAUAAAUCGUCAGCUGCUGGUUCUACUGUGUGUUCAACAAUCAAUGUGCAGUAAGUGAUAG
rnacentral:misc_RNA from 1 species